GAUGAACGCUGGCGGCGUGCCUAAUACAUGCAAGUCGAGCGAACAGACGAGGAGCUUGCUCCUUUGACGUUAGCGGCGGACGGGUGAGUAACACGUAGGUAACCUACCUAUAAGACUGGGAUAACUUCGGGAAACCGGAGCUAAUACCGGAUAAUAUUUCGAACCGCAUGGUACGAUAGUGAAAGAUGGCUUUGCUAUCACUUAUAGAUGGACCUGCGCCGUAUUAGCUAGUUGGUAAGGUAACGGCUUACCAAGGCAACGAUACGUAGCCGACCUGAGAGGGUGAUCGGCCACACUGGAACUGAGACACGGUCCAGACUCCUACGGGAGGCAGCAGUAGGGAAUCUUCCGCAAUGGGCGAAAGCCUGACGGAGCAACGCCGCGUGAGUGAUGAAGGUCUUCGGAUCGUAAAACUCUGUUAUUAGGGAAGAACAAACGUGUAAGUAACUGUGCACGUCUUGACGGUACCUAAUCAGAAAGCCACGGCUAACUACGUG
rnacentral:rRNA from 1 species